GGUAAACAUGGAUUGUGGUGGGCUAGUGACAGAAUGAAGAAGAUCAGUUUAAAAUGUGCUUUACAACCAGAGGUUGCAUUAUUUUGACAGACAAGGGCUGUAAGAAAAUUGUCAAAAUCAAUAAUAAUAUGAGCCAACAGCCAAACAAUAACAACUAAACUCAAUCAACUAUCUUAAUCUGCCUGAACUCAAAUCUUGUGGUCUAUAAAGUGGGAGUUUAUCUGUGUGUAAUUCAACCAUCAUGUUAGACUGAAGGAAUUGCAGUUAUCAUUAGAUUUCCCGACAGCACUGGACAAAUGACUUCUCACACUCAGUGUGACUUGAGACAAAGGAUAAACAAAGACAUUGAGUAUGUUUACAUGCACAUAAUAAGAGGACAAUUAUCCUAUUAUGAUAUUAUAAAAAUCAGCUUAUUACAUUAACAUGUUUCAAGCGUUUUAAUUUACUUUUAUUUGUGAAGUUUAUCUAUCUCAGGUGGAGACAUACGCACAUACGAAACGGCAAAAAAGACUUUAAAAUCUGGUUUAAGAGCAAAAAAACUACCUGUGCCAAUCAGUUUUUGCCAUUUAUGGGCUUUACCCUAUAAAAGAAAACCAUUUUAUGCAUUUAAAUGACCUUACACGUUAUCAGUUUAUUAAGCGUUUAGACUAUGUAGACACACUCACUGUGCACUAAAAUUAAAAAAAUUGGUUAACACGACCACUCGUGGUGGCUUCACUCAGAGGUUGGAGAAGACAACCGGUGGACUAAACAUCAAGCCUCUGCACGAUUCAGGUAAGUGGAAUAAAAUACAUUGUAAAUAAACAUUAUUAAAACAGAUUGUGAAGUCAUUCAUUCAAAACUUGCUAUGACCUAAGCCUAAAUGACUUAAUUUCUUUUUAGAAUUAAGACAACCUUAGCAGGAGAGCCCCAGCAGUAACUUUCUCUCAAGCAGAUGAGCAAUAAGUUGCUUUGUAUGAACACCACCCUAACAAUCAAGUAACCUGUUAACAGUAGACCAAAGGUAUGAUGAUCAAUUAUAAAUGCAAUAUGGUUGAAAGGUCAGUAAACAAACAACAAAAAGGUAAUUUCUUAAUAGAAUGUCUAUACAUUUUUUGCUUUUGUUACAUAUUUCAUACAUCAAAAUCAUUAAACGUUAAUAAUUAUGUAUUCCAACUUGUUGCAGCUUGACAAAAAUGUAGCUUGAAGGAGAAGGGACAGCUGAGUAACAAAGUCCUGGUAUGCAGACGACGAUACUAUUACACUGACAAGAGUGUAAUGAUGAUGGAGACACAAGCCAGAGAAAGGGGGGACCAAACACCAGGCCAGAAUUCUGCAUGAGUCAGAUCCAGUGGGUGCAGAUCAUCAUACAGAUGGUUCAAGUGUGGAUCCACCUAAUAUUCAAGAUUUUCUGUCCUGGGACACUCGGCUAACCAUCAAGAAAGAACACACUCCAGUGGGCAUCCUUUAUCCAUCCAGACCCUCAUACAGAUGUUGGAGUUUUGAUUCACCUAAAGUACCAUGCAAGAGCACUCAUUUUCCCUCUUGAGACCAUGGUGUGACCUGCAAGGUCGAAUGGAGACUGUAAGCGAGACAAUCUUGGAGUCACCUGCAUUGACUGGUCCAGUUGUUAGUCCAAUUACAGAUGGAGAUUAUAGAAGAGGAUGAUGUCUUUUCUCCAACAUCUUUCUAGACUGAUAAAAGAUCUAGACAGGCUUGAACAAAAGUUAACAGAGGGGCUUAUAUAGAGAAUGGUGAGCAGCUACACAUAAAAGAAGAACAUGGAGAAUCUGCCCAGAGGUGUUAACCAGCAAUGCAGCUAUACAACUAAAGUGAUGCAGGCGGAAACAAUGUGUAAUGCAGCUGCUGCAGAUGAAGAAUCCGUCCGUCUACCACUGAAGGAGACGCGGAAAAUCGGGAAAAGAUGUUCUUUGCCCGAGGAAGCAUUUGAUUAAUUUAAAGAUAUUGUGUUUCUUUGUAUUUUAUAGAAAAACGUUGCUUUUUUGCAUACACUCGUGUAAAUAUGCAUCUUAUGAAUGUUUUCCUUUGUCUAAUUUUAAUAAAUUUUACGCAAUCAA